CCAGGGAUUGAACCCACGCCCCUCUGCAACGGAAGGCAGAUUUUAGACACCGGACCACCAGGGAAUUCCCGUGUUUUAUUUCUUGAAGAAACUUCUGACUCAUCUCCGUUACUCCUUCCUGCUCCACCUCCCCCGCCCCCGCCUUCUUUUCCCUUGGAAACGGCCUCAGAGAUUCCGGAAGGUGCUUCCUUACUUCUGAGCCACCUGCGUGGGAGGAAGCUGAGGACGUGAAGCUCCACCUCAGAUCAUCAGGGAUUAGAUCCCAGAGGUUGGGAACCCCUGUCCUAGAGAACCUGUCUGCAAAGCCUAAAAUAUUUGCCAGCUGGCCCUUUACAGAGAAAGUUUGUGGAUACCUGCUUGGAUGCACAGUGCUUGGUUUGGAGCGUGGCGACAGACGGGCUGAGCUGAGAACUGGAGCUGUCGGAAGGACGGGCACACUCUCCCAGUUCAACAAUCUGCCUGCAGGAAUCUGAAAGAGACUCAGGAUAUCUUAACUCUUCGAGGAAGCGGGCUUCUUAACUUGGAGUCCCUGUGGGGGUCACAGGUUACCGCAUGGUUGAUGAAGGGAUGCAAGGCUCUAGCUACAAGCCAGCUGGCAUGGUGGGGCGGGAAGAGCACUGCUCUGCGGUCUGUAAUGAAUGACUAGGUCCAGGCGCGACCCACCAGUGGCUGCCAACAUCACAAGAAGAGAUGAGACAUCAUACACCUCCUGAUGGAAGUGAGUGAUACCACCCACAGAGGAGUGCUGCCAAAAAAUAAAAACAAAAAAACCCUGAUCUCUUGUUUUGCCUCAUUUAUAGGAAACACAGGUGACAAGAGGAGCCUGUGCAAUGACCCCCAGGGGAUGUAAUCAAUAAAUUCAGACUGUGGGCAGUGCUGUAGAA
ensembl:lncRNA